AUGACAAAGAAAAGAAGGAACAAUGGUCGUGCCAAAAAGGGCCACAGCCACGUGCAGCCUAUUUGCUGCACUAACUGUGCCUGAUGCAUGCCCAAGGACAAGGCCAUUAAGAAAUUCGUCAUUUGAAACAUAGUGGAGGCCGCAGCAGUCAGGGACAUUUCUGAAGCGAGCGUCUUCGAUGCCUAUGUGCUUCCCAAGCUGUUUGUGAAGCUACAUUACUGUGUGAGUUGUGCAAUUCACAGCAAAGUAGUCAGGAAUCGAUCUCAUGAAGCCCACAAGGACUGAACACCCCCACCCCGAUUUAGACCUGUGAGUGCUGCCCACGUCCCC
rnacentral:lncRNA from 1 species